rnacentral:rRNA from 1 species
GAUGAACGCUAGCGGCAGGCUUAAUACAUGCAAGUCGUGGGGCAGCAGGACUGUAGCCAUACAGUUGCUGGCGACCGGCAAACGGGUGCGGAACACGUACGCAACUUACCCUGAACUGGGGGCUAGCCCGGGGAAACUCGGCUUAAUACCCCGUAAUAUAAUGGAGUGGAAUCACUUUAUUAUUAAAGCUACGGCGGUACGGGAUGGGCGUUCGGCUGAUUAGGUAGUUGGUUGGGGCCACGGCUCACCAUGACUACGAUCAGUAACUGGUGUGGGAGCACGGCCAGUGACACGGGCGCGGGGACGCGGGCCCGACUCCUACGAGACGCAGCAGUAAGGAAUAUGGGGCAAUGGAGGCAACUCUGACCCAGCCAAGCCGCGUGGAGGAUGAAGGCCCUCUGGGUUGUAAACUUCUUUUAGAGGGGAAGAAACCUGUGUAUUCUUACGCAGUUGACGGUACCCUAGGAAUAAGCACCGGCUAACUCCGUG